UACGAAGGGGGCUAGCGUUGUUCGGAAUUACUGGGCGUAAAGCGCGCGCAGGCGGUUUUUCAAGUCAGUGGUGAAAGCCCGGAGCUCAACUCCGGAAAUGCCAUUGAAACUGUGAAACUUGAGGACGAGAGAGGAGACUGGAAUUUACGGUGUAGCGGUGAAGUGCGUAGAUAUCGUAAGGAAGACCAGUGGCGAAGGCGGGUCUCUGGACAGUUCCUGACGCUGGGGCACGAAGGUCAGGGGAGCAAACGGG
rnacentral:rRNA from 1 species